rnacentral:lncRNA from 1 species
GUGCUAAUCUCCACUCAGCAUGAUGAGACUGUGACUAAUGAUGAGAUUGCUGCUGAUUUGAAGGAGCAUGUCAUCAAGCCUGUUAUUCCUGAGAAGUACCUUGACGAAAAGACCAUUUUCCACCUUAACCCAUCUGGCCGUUUUGUCAUUGGAGGUCCUCAUGGUGAUGCUGGUCUCACUGGUCGCAAGAUCAUUAUUGAUACUUAUGGAGGAUGGGGUGCUCAUGGUGGUGGUGCUUUCUCUGGGAAGGACCCUACCAAGGUGGAUAGAAGCGGUGCUUACAUUGUCAGGCAGGCUGCAAAGAGCAUUGUUGCUAAUGGACUUGCUAGGAGGUCAAUUGUGCAGGUUUCCU